GACGAACGCUGGCGGCGUGCCUAAUACAUGCAAGUCGAACGAACUCUGGUAUUGAUUGGUGCUUGCAUCAUGAUUUACAUUUGAGUGAGUGGCGAACUGGUGAGUAACACGUGGGAAACCUGCCCAGAAGCGGGGGAUAACACCUGGAAACAGAUGCUAAUACCGCAUAACAACUUGGACCGCAUGGUCCGAGUUUGAAAGAUGGCUUCAGCUAUCACUUUUGGAUGGUCCCGCGGCGUAUUAGCUAGAUGGUGGGGUAACGGCUCACCAUGGCAAUGAUACGUAGCCGACCUGAGAGGGUAAUCGGCCACAUUGGGACUGAGACACGGCCCAAACUCCUACGGGAGGCAGCAGUAGGGAAUCUUCCACAAUGGACGAAAGUCUGAUGGAGCAACGCCGCGUGAGUGAAGAAGGGUUUCGGCUCGUAAAACUCUGUUGUUAAAGAAGAACAUAUCUGAGAGUAACUGUUCAGGUAUUGACGGUAUUUAACCAGAAAGCCACGGCUAACUACGUGCCAGCAGCCGCGGUAAUACGUAGGUGGCAAGCGUUGUCCGGAUUUAUUGGGCGUAAAGCGAGCGCAGGCGGUUUUUUAAGUCUGAUGUGAAAGCCUUCGGCUCAACCGAAGAAGUGCAUCGGAAACUGGGAAACUUGAGUGCAGAAGAGGACAGUGGAACCCCAUGUGUAGCGGUGAAAUGCGUAGAUAUAUGGAAGAACACCAGUGGCGAAGGCGGCUGUCUGGUCUGCAACUGACGCUGAGGCUCGAAAGUAUGGGUAGCAAACAGGAUUAGAUACCCUGGUAGUCCAUACCGUAAACGAUGAAUGCUAAGUGUUGGAGGGUUUCCGCCCUUCAGUGCUGCAGCUAAUGCAUUAAGCAUUCCGCCUGGGGAGUACGGCCGCAAGGCUGAAACUCAAAGGAAUUGACGGGGGCCCGCACAAGCGGUGGAGCAUGUGGUUUAAUUCGAAGCUACGCGAAGAACCUUACCAGGUCUUGACAUACUAUGCAAAUCUAAGAGAUUAGACGUUCCCUUCGGGGACAUGGAUACAGGUGGUGCAUGGUUGUCGUCAGCUCGUGUCGUGAGAUGUUGGGUUAAGUCCCGCAACGAGCGCAACCCUUAUUAUCAGUUGCCAGCAUUAAGUUGGGCACUCUGGUGAGACUGCCGGUGACAAACCGGAGGAAGGUGGGGAUGACGUCAAAUCAUCAUGCCCCUUAUGACCUGGGCUACACACGUGCUACAAUGGAUGGUACAACGAGUUGCGAACUCGCGAGAGUAAGCUAAUCUCUUAAAGCCAUUCUCAGUUCGGAUUGUAGGCUGCAACUCGCCUACAUGAAGUCGGAAUCGCUAGUAAUCGCGGAUCAGCAUGCCGCGGUGAAUACGUUCCCGGGCCUUGUACACACCGCCCGUCACACCAUGAGAGUUUGUAACACCCAAAGUCGGUGGGGUAACCUUUUAGGAACCAGCCGCCUAAGGUGGGACAGAUGAUUAGGGUG
rnacentral:rRNA from 1 species